GACGAACGCUGGCGGCGUGCCUAAUACAUGCAAGUAGAACGCACAGUUUAUACCGUAGCUUGCUACACCAUAGACUGUGAGUUGCGAACGGGUGAGUAACGCGUAGGUAACCUGCCUGGUAGCGGGGGAUAACUAUUGGAAACGAUAGCUAAUACCGCAUAAUAUUAAUUAUUGCAUGAUAAUUAAUUGAAAGGUGCAAUUGCACCACUACCAGAUGGCCCUGCGUUGUAUUAGCUAGUAGGUGAGGUAACGGCUCACCUAGGCGACGAUACAUAGCCGACCUGAGAGGGUGAUCGGCCACACUGGGACUGAGACACGGCCCAGACUCCUACGGGAGGCAGCAGUAGGGAAUCUUCGGCAAUGGACGAAAGUCUGACCGAGCAACGCCGCGUGAGUGAAGAAGGUUUUCGGAUCGUAAAGCUCGGUUGUAAGAGAAGAACGGGUGUGAGAGUGGAAAGUUCACACUGUGACGGUAUCUUACCAGAAAGGGACGGCUAACUACGUG
rnacentral:rRNA from 1 species